rnacentral:lncRNA from 1 species
AAAUAUGUCUCCGUGUUUACCAGCCCCAGGAUUUUUGUUAGCUGGUAGACACUUAGUUGAUACAGAAUAUCCAAAAAAAUACAAAAAAAAAUUGAGUUACACGACCAUGAAGGUCUACUGGGCUGAACAAAAGUCUGAAGUGGACGGCGGAAGCAACUCGAGGAACCACCAGUGCCCAUCGGACUUCAUUCCCACAGGAACAGUUGACCUGGAUUAAUUCCUAUCUCACAAGGCUGCUGUCCUUGACUCCUAGGUUCCGGGGUUGAUGGUAUCGUGCUCCUCUCCAAACGCAAUCUGGCCAAGACAAUAGCCAGGGACAAGCCAGUGAGUACUUUGAAUGUACUCGCAAACAUCAAGAAAAAAACACGUUAAGUAGGCGAGUUGCAUGCAAAUUCCACUAACAGUUAUAUCAUACUCUUGUAGUGUAACUGAUGGGUGCAUUCAUGAAGAUAUGCCAUGUUUCCACCAAUGAUUUAUAAACAAGCAAGGAUGAUAAUGUUGUAUAAGUAAUGAUAUGUGUGCCACUGUCGGGCGUGUAAGCGACACCACAGAAAAGGGCUUAUAUGAAACAGUAAGCAUGCCACAGUCGGGCGUCUCAGCGACACCAUAUAAAGGGCUUAUAAGAAAUGAUAAUGAGCAUGCAACAGUCGGGCGUCUAAGCGACACCACAUAAAUGGCUUAUAAGAAAUGAUAAUGAGCAUGUCACAGUCGAGCGUCUCAGCGACACCACAUAAAGGGCUUAUAUGAAACAGUAAUAAAUAUUGAAUAUCCAGGAGGUAGAGCCGUCCCAGGGAUAUCCACAACAUAAUCAUAGGGGUUAGUCGGGAGUAAUAAUCAUAAUAUGAUUAUCCACCACAUCAUCAUAUGAUUUACCACAAACAUUAUUAUUAUCACCGUUUAUACUCCAAAUACCGACUCUAGGACAGACACUUGACUCGUCAAACAACGCCCUUGACCAGGGACACGGCUACUCGAAUAGUUUUCACUCUGCAGAGGGCGUACUCUUUACCCACAGCUCAUGGAUUCCGAUAGUCGACAAGACACACCGAUUUUCCUCCGCGAAGCCCGCCUUCACCUGGACUAUACUACCAAGGGAAAACCAUAAGACGGGGAGGCUCCGACCUCGACUAGCAUGGGAUCAAAAAUUUAUACCGUGCACUCACUGGGAAGGGCCAUUCCCUUUCGGUCCCAUGGCCGGAAACACCCAUGCCCCCUGACCGGAUUAAUGGAUUUAUUCCAGGGCCAUGGAUACCUUCAUACCGGCCCCUCUACUUGGUGUGUGACUGAUAAUAGGCCUACAACUUACUUUACCGAAUCCAUUAUCCAGGAAACUUUGGUAGCACGCAAUAGAUGUAUGACACGGACAAGACUCGAUUUAGGUCGAUACUGGAGUUAACCAUGUUUUACCGGCAUCAUCGUGCACACGUCAUGACCAGGCCAUAACCUAUCAUGUUCCGCGUGACUAAGUUAUUCCAUGACCCCUCAUAACUAGCACAUGCCAUCACCAUAUUUCACCAUCAUUAUAAUGUGAGUAGCAUGCAUGAAUAGGCAAAGCAUUAUUUUAUGUGAUGCUAAUAUUAACAUAACCUCAAUUCAAGCGAUAUAAGUACCAUCACAAUCAUCACACAAAUCAAGCAAAUAUGGGUUCAAGAUGCUUGCCGUAGGUGUGUAGAGAACUAGAUUUGCACUCCAAAACUUUUGAAGGUUUACUUCUCUCUCCAUCUACUAUUUGAAAAUAAUUCUAUUCAACACGCAAGUCCAAAAAACUACAUAAAAGUUGUUUGCAAAAUUUGCAAAUAAAUCUUAAAAUAAACUAGAGGUAAUUCUGAACCAGUAGGAAAAAGAAUCAAAUGAUUUGGCGGUUACUAUAAAAAGAUAUAGCGAGUCAAACUUACUGGUCAAAUCUGUUUUUAAAAAUCAAAAUAAAGAAAACGCUUCGGGCUAUUUACGCUUUCUAACAAAGAAAACGCAAUCACUGCAACAACCGCGAAUAAAUACACUUUGCAAAAAAGAAAACGCACCAGGGGGCUUGCGCUACUCAGGGCUGGUGCUCACUCACAGACAGGCGGGACCCGCCUAUCGGGUUCUCCUUCUUCCUCCCGCACGCAUCUUGGAUAGGAACAGAGACGCACUCCGAUGAUGAUUGCCGGUGGCACAUGGCAUCUCCUGCCACGCUCCAGCUAUGCACGAGCUCGGGAAGGAGUGCCACAUCCAUUUUUGGAAGUUGGGGCAACCACAGAGUUCAACAAUGGCGGAGGGAGCUUCUGUCACCUUGCUUCCUCAGUCCCAUGGGGUAUGGGUAGGCUAGCAGGGUUACUAGGAGGAGGAGAGGGGCUUGGGGAUGCCGGAAUCGAGCAGGGGAUCGACAGCGGCGUUACUGACAGAGAGGUGCACCGGGGGCUGCUCGGGCUAAAUUGGGCGAUGCACAGGGGAGCUACUGGUCUUGGGAGGUUUUUGGUAAACUCAAAGUGCUCGGCGGCUCCUUAAAUAGCUAGCUAGAGUUGGUUCUGCGGAGACCUUCGGAUAAGAUCGUCGGCAGCAGUCUUUGGCAAACGGCUCAGGAGCACAGGAGCGGCGGCAGGGCGCAGUAGGGGCAGCAAGGGGAAGCGAGGCAGGGGAGGGACCGCG